GUUAUAUUAUUGGAGAU
rnacentral:siRNA from 1 species